rnacentral:rRNA from 1 species
UGCUGUUAAAAAGCUCGUAGUUGGAUCAAGAGUACAACAGUGCAAGGUGGCCUCGUUUGUGUCAGUGGCUCCGGUCGCUGGCACGGCGGCGGAUCAACCCCUUGCAUUAAACUGUUGUCUCUAACAGGCCGAAGCGGUUCCCUGUGAGUAGGCCACUUCAUUGGGGCUGAAAGCGCUGACGCAUCUACCACAUGCAUACGGGAGGUCGGCCAAUGUUACUGCGAACAAACCAGCGUGUCCAAAGCAGGCUUCCGCCUGAAUGUUCGAGCAUGGAAUAACAAGGGAUCGAUUCUCUCGGUUCUUUUUGUUGGUUUUUAACCCGAGAAGGAGUAAUUCAGGCCACGGUGUCUGGGCUGGGUUCCCCUAGGCUUCGGCUUAGGCCCCAGUUAGGCCGUGUUCUUACGGGAUAAAUAGGGACUGACGGGGGUCGCUACGUACUUCCACGUCAGAAGUGAAAUUCUUAGAUCGUGGGAAGA